AACGAACGCUGGCGGCAGGCUUAACACAUGCAAGUCGAACGCCCCGCAAGGGGAGUGGCGCACGGGUGAGUAACGCGUGGGAACGUGCCCUUAGGUACGGAACAACGUCUGGAAACGGACGCUAAUACCGUAUAAUAUCUUCGGAUCAAAGAUUUAUCGCCUAAGGGUCGGCCCGCGUUGGAUAAGGUAGUUGGUGAGGUAAUGGCUAACCAAGCCGACGAUCCAUAGCUGUUCUGAGAGGAUGAUCAGCCACACUGGGACUGAGACACGGCCCAGACUCCUACGGGAGGCAGCAGUGAGGAAUAUUGGACAAUGGAGGAAACUCUGAUCCAGCCAUGCCGCGUGAGUGAUGAAGGCCUUCGGGUUGUAAAGCUCUUUUACCCCUGACGAUAAUGACGGUAAGGGGAGAAAAAGCCACGGCUAACUUCGUGCCAGCAGCCGCCGUAA
rnacentral:rRNA from 1 species